AGCAGCCGCGGUAAUUCCAGCUCCAAUAGCGUAUAUUAAAGUUGUUGCAGUUAAAAAGCUCGUAGUUGAAUUUCGGGGUUCUACCGUUGGUCGGGCAAUAGUCUGUACUGGCGUGUAGAAUUUCUACCUUCUGGGGAACCAUCAUGUUAUUUAUUUAGCGUGGUGGGAAACCAGGACCUUUACCUUGAAAAAAUUAGAGUGUUCAAAGCAGGCUUACGUCUGAAUACAUUAGCAUGGAAUAAUAAAAUAGGACGGUGGUCCUGUUUUGUUGGUUUCUGAAUCACCGUAAUGAUUAAUAGGGAUAGUUGGGGGCAUUAGUAUUCAAUUGUCAGAGGUGAAAUUCUUGGAUUUAUUGAAGACUAACUUCUGCGAAAGCAUUUGCCAAGGAUGUUUUCAUUAAUCAAGAACGAAAGUUAGGGGAUCGAAGACGAUCAGAUACCGUCGUAGUCUUAACCAUAAACUAUGCCGACUAGGGAUCGGACGAUGUUAAUUUUUCUUGACUCGUUCGGCGCCUUACGGG
rnacentral:rRNA from 1 species